CCCUUAGAUGUUCUGGGCAGCACGCGCGCUACAAUGGUCUUCGCAAACGGAUGCAUUCUCGAAGGAGAAUGCCAAUCUUGGAAUCUAUGCCUUGGUCGGGACAGUUGCUUGCAAUUUUUCGACUCGAACCAGGAAUUCCUUGUAAUCGUGAUUCAUCACAUCACGAUGAAUACGUCCCUGCCCUUUGUACACACCGCCCGUCGCUCCUACCGAUGGAAGAGUUAGGUGAAUUGUUUUGAUCGAUAAGAUUUGACUAUGGUCAACUCUCGUUGUGAAAUUCUGUGAAUCUGACUGUUUAGAGGAAGGAAAAGUCGUAACA
rnacentral:rRNA from 1 species